rnacentral:rRNA from 1 species
CCCUUAGAUGUUCUGGGCCGCACGCGCGCUACACUGAUGCAUUCAACGAGUCUAAAACCUGGUCUGAUAGGGCUGGGUAAUCUUUUGAAUGUGCAUCGUGAUUGGGAUAGAUGAUUGCAAUUCUUCAUCUUCAACGAGGAAUGCCUAGUAAACGCAAGUCAUCAGCUUGCAUUGAUUACGUCCCUGCCCUUUGUACACACCGCCCGUCGCACCUACCGAUUGAAUGGUCCGGUGAAAUCUCCGGACUGGCGUGAGUCGGAGCAAUCUGACAAACGCCGGAAAGUUGAUUAAACCUUACCAUUUAGAGGAAGGUGAAGUCGUAACA